rnacentral:sRNA from 1 species
UUUUAGUUGGGAAUUGCGUUAGGGAUGGGAGCGGCAUCCUUUUUAAACUUGAAAGCCUAACAUUAAACUGAUAACUAUAUCUUUUUAAAUAAACUGGUUUUUAAAUAUGUACCAACUGUUUAAAAAGAUAUAGCGUACAGCCCGACCUUUA